rnacentral:lncRNA from 1 species
CCCUACUCCAACCAUCAAGCCUAUCUUCCUCAACAAUGGGCCUCUGCAAAAUCCUCUCCAUUUCCUCAUUCCUUCUCACCACCCUAUUCUUCACCUCCAGCUAUGCAGCAACCUUCAACAUCCAAAACCGUUGCUCCUACACAGUUUGGGCGGCGGCAAUCCCAGGCGGGGGCAUGCGGCUUGGCUCAGGCCAAUCCUGGAGCCUCGAUGUGAAGGCCGCCACCACCGGAAGCCGUGUUUGGGGCCGUACCGACUGCAGCUUCGAUGCGUCAGGGAAUGGGAAGUGUGAGACCGGGGACUGUGGUGGCCGCCUCCAAUGCAAGGCCUAUGGUACACCCCCUAACACCUUAGCCGAAUUCGCACUUAACCAAUACAGCAACUUGGACUUCUUUGAUAUAUCUUUGGUUGAUGGAUUUAAUGUGCCUAUAGCCUUUAAUCCUACUUCCAAUGGGUGCACCCGUGGCAUCAGUUGCACCGCCGACAUCGUGGGAGAGUGCCCCGCUGCGCUAAAGACUACCGGUGGUUGCAACAACCCAUGCACCGUUUUCAAGACCGAUGAAUAUUGUUGCAAUUCUGGGAGCUGUAAUGCUACAGAUUUCUCAAGGUUUUUCAAGACUAGGUGCCCUGAUGCUUAUAGCUACCCUAAGGACGAUCAGACAAGCACCUUCACAUGCCCUGGCGGUACCAAUUAUGAAGUUAUCUUCUGCCCAUCAGCAGUGCCACAAACAUGUGUUUUUAUUAUAAAUUAAUUUGUGGUAAAAAAAACAUUUUGUGUUACAAGAUUUUUUUUCCACAAAAAAAUAUUUCCGACCAGUUUGUUGCUACAAAUUCGUAAACAAUUAUUUUUAAUCACAAAAUUUAAUUUUAUAAUAAAAUAAAUAAUUUUUUCAUAAAAUAAAUUUUAUAACAAAAUAUCAAUAUUCACCAUUAAAUAAAAUUUAUGAUAAAAUGUCAUUUUUCACCGUAAAAUAAAAUUUGUGACAACACAUCGUUUUUCAUGAAAAUAAUUACGAUAAUAUGCGACUUUUUUGUUAUAAAAAAAUUCAUGAUAAAAAAUUACCCUUCUACCAAAAAACAUUAAUUGUAACGGUCCAAACCACUGGUCUUGACAAGGAAAUAUGACAUACAGUCAAGGAGGGUUUGCUUAAAAGUCAUUAUCCUACUUGGAAACUACCUCCCUUAUUGGGGUACAUGGCAUUUUUUUAAUAAUAUUUGACUCACUUUUCCGGGAAACCUAGUUGUAGAAGUCCAAACAGGUUGCUUUUCAGGGGAAUUCACGGCAUAAAUAGAAAAGAAAGUUGCCAGAAAUGCCCUAACUGAUUAAAAUCAUUACCUUUAAUUGCAGAGAAUUAUGUCUAUCAAUUAAAUAAAUUAUAAAUAUAUGUUUGAAUUGAUUUUUAAGAAAUUGAAUGGUUUUUUAAGUUCAAUAAGAAUUUUAAUAUUGAUUUAACUAAUUUUAUUUAAAAAGCUUAUGAUUUAAAAAAUAGUUUUAUAUGAUUUAGAUAAGAAAUUAUUUAAUAUUUAAUAUAAGUUUUAUAAUACUAAUAUUAUGUAUUAAAAAUUAUGAUUUUGGUUGGACUCUCAACAUUUAGUUAAAUCUAAAAGUAGAAAACUAUUUCAAACAAAGUCAUGUUUUCUAUUUCAUUAUUAAUUAAUAUAUAUUUUUUUUAAUUCGGAUGUGAAAAGGUGUUUCAAAGUUUAAGAUUGUCUAAUAUUUUAAAUCAAAAUCUCAAUACUUAAAUUAAAGAAAAAUUUAGAUCGUAUUUAUUUGUUUAAUUGAAUAGAAAAAAUUAAAAUAUUUAAUUUUUUUAAUUUUAAUUAAAAGUAAUCUAUUUAUAUUAAUCAAUAUAACGAAAUCGAAUAUAUUGAUAAUAAAUUUACUUUAAAUAUCUUAAUUGAUAUUAAUAUAUUACUUGAACUGAAAAAACUAAAAAGCAAAAAAUAAACUCCACACUUAAAAAGAUUCUGGGCCAUGGAUACAGAAGCCCAAAAGAUUUAUUGAUGGGGGCAGUGGGCCUGGCCUGCCGUGUGCAGCUGCAUUUGUUUGACUUGUCCUCAAGCCUAGUCAACGUCUCCGUUCAAUGAAGCUGAUGUAUCGAAAAAUCCCAAAAAGCCUCAUUUUUCCCGCCAAACGCGUAAACCCCAAAAUGAGUUUCUUCUGCAACUGCAGCAAUCUCUCUACUUCCUUCUUCCUCCUCAUCUUCAUCAAUGCAACCAUUUUCGAAAUCCGAAACAGCUGCCCCUAUACCGUCUGGGCAGCCGCCUUACCCGGCGGCGGAAGGUAACUCGACCAAGGCCAGACCCGGAACCUUUCAGUGAGCUCCAACACAACCCAAGGCCACAUCUGGGGCAGAACCAAGUGCAGUUUCGAUGAAGCCGGAAGGGGGAACUGCGAGUCCGGUGGAUGUGGAGGCCUCCUUGAAUGCCAAGAAUAUGGUUCACCGCCCAACACCAUUGCCGAGUACGCCAUAAACCAAUUCAACAAAACUGAUUUCUUCGAUAUUUCUCUGGUGGUUGGAUUCAACCUUCCAAUGGAGUUUAGCCCAACUUCUGAUGGGUGCAAACGUGGGGUCAAGCGUACGUGCGACAUUAACGGGCCGUGCCCAAACGAGUUGAGGGACCCGGGUGGGUGUAACAACCCAUGUACCGUUUUCAACAAUACUCAGUACUGUUGCAAUACCGGGAGCUGUUAGCCUACACCUUCAUGUUUUUCAAGGCUAGCUGCCCAGAUGUAUACAGUUACCCUUUGGGAGAUGAUUCAAUCGGUACGUUUACCUGCGCCGCAUGCACUAACUAUCGUAUAGUCUUCUCCGAGUUUUGGGGUAGCCCAAAGUUUAAACCUUUUUGCAAAACUUACAAUCAAACUCGUCCUUUUUAUUAUCACCUAGAGUCAUAUUAUGUUUUUUUUUUCAAAAUUUAAGUUGAAAAUUUUAUUUUUGAAUUGAAGCCAUAAUUAAUAACCAAGACUUCAUUUUGAACGGAAACCUCAUUUGAUAAGUGAGACUUAGUUUUUUAAUUAAAACCUCAUUUUGACAAUUAAAACUUCAUUUAUUAAACUAAAACCUUAAUUGUGACUUUAGUUAUUUUUUUUACUUUAAAAUUUAAUUAAAAAUAUUAAAUUUCAAAUUAUUAUUGAAAUUAAAAAUAUUUACUUUAAUAAUAAAAAAUUAUAUAUUUAAGUUUAAGGAUUCAACAUUAUUCUAAUAAAGAUAAAUUGAUAAAUAAAAUAAAUAAAUGAAUAAUUUUAUUUAUCAAUAAAUUAAUAAUUUUAAAAUAAUAAAGUUAUAUAAUAUAUAAAUAAAAUAUAAAAUUAUAUAAUUUAUUAAUUUAAGUUAUAUUACAAAUACUAUAUGUUACCGGGCAACUAAAAAGGAAGAAAGUUAUGUAUAGGUUCUCUCUUUGUAAAGACACGUAAGAUUAUAUAAUUUUCUUUUUUACUAUAUGAAUAUUUAGUAAACAAUUUUUGUGACAUAGAUGAAACUACUAAAACUUAUAUUUUGUAGUAAACAUUUUUUAAUUAAUUUUAUUAGCUAAUUUUAAAAUGUAUCUUCAAGGCAUAUAUGUUGUGGGUAUAAAUAAUAAUUUUUUUUUAAUGAAAAAUUAUAAACAUAUACUUUAAAAUAAUAAUAAAAUCUAUAUAUAAAAGCUUAAGAAUAUACUAUUAUUUUAAUAAAGAUAAAUUUGUGAAAAUACAAAUAAAUUAAUAUCUUAAAAAUAAAACAAAUUAAAUAUCUUAAAUUAAUAAAUUAUAUAAUUUUAUAUCUUAUUAUAUUUAUCAAUUUAUCUUUAAACCUAAGUCCUAAGUCCAAGGUUUAAAUAUUUUAUUAUAUUUAUUAAUUUAUCUUUAUUGAAGUAAUACUAGAUUUUUAAGUUUAAACAUAUAAUUAAUUUAUUAUUAAAGUAUAUAUUUUUAAUUUCAACAAUAAUUUAUAAUUUAAUAUUUUAAUUAAAUUUUAAAGUAAAAAAAUAAUUAAUUGAAGCUUCAAUUGAAAAUUAAGACUUUAAUAAAAAAAUGAAGUCUCAAUUAUCAAUUGUGAAUUCAAUUUAAAAAUGAGGUAUGAUUUGACAAUUAAGGUUUCAGUUUAUAAAUGAAACCUUAAUUGUCAAUUGUGGUUUUAGUUCAAAAAUAAACCCUCAAUUGAUAAUUGAGGUUUUACUUAAAUUUUAAAAUAUAUAUAUAUUAUGAUACGACUCUUAUGUGACAAUAAAGGACUAGUUUGAACAUAAAUUUUAUAAAAAUGUUAAAUCUUACAUUUCUUUUUAUACAAGCUUAUUUAUUUUUGUUUCUUAAAAAAAAAAAAAUUAUCAGCUUCCCUUGAUAAGAUUUGAGGAAAAACAAAGAUGAGGUAGGAUUGGCUCUUCCAUGCCUCUAAGUCGAGCACCAUCUUUUAGAUUUUAACAAAGCUUAUUGCUAAAAUAUUUUCAUUUAGGGUCAUUAACUUUAACUUAGGGUUCAUCGAGGAACUUUUUCAGAAAUAAUUCUUAAAAAGUAAUUCUCAAGAAUAACUUUUAAAAAUAAUAUUUUAAUAUUUUUAAAAUAAAAAGUUUUGAAGAGCUUAGAAUAUUGUCAAUUUUUUUUUAUAUUUUUAAAUAUUUCUUAAAAAUAAUUCCUAUUUAUAAUACCUUAUUUUAAGACAUUCUUCGUGUUUAUUCAAUAAUUCCUAAAAAGUAAUUAAAAUAUAAUAUAUGUAAAAAAAAUCACUUUUCAUAGUUUUAGUUUUAAAUUUAUAAUUAACAAUCGAAUGUGUUUUUAUACUUUUUUUAUUCUAAAAACCAAAAAGAUAAAUCCUUAAUAGAAAUUUUCAAACAUUGUUUUAGUGUCCCACCCCAAGUCCACCUUCGCUCUAUAUAAACUCCUAGCCAUUUCCUCACGGACCACCCCAAACCAUAAAGCCCAUCUUCCUGAAAAAAUGGGCCUCUUCAAAACCCCUUUAAUUUCCUCAUUCCUUCUCACCACCCUAUUCUUCGCCUCCUGCCACGCAGCCACGCUGAUCAACAUCCAAAACCAUUGCUCCUACACAGUUUGGGCGGCGGCGGUACCAGGUGGGGGCAGGCAGCUUGGUCCGGGCCAAUCCUGGAGCCUCGAUGCGAACCCUGGCACAGCCCGUGUGUGGGCACGUACCAACUGCACCUUUGAUGGGUCAGGGAACGGGACGUGUGAGACCCGAGAUUGUGGUGGCCGCCUCCAAUGCCAAGCCUAUGGUACACCCCCUAACACCUUGGCCGAAUUCGCACUUAACCAAUUCAACAACAUGGACUUCUUCGAUAUAUCUUUGGUUGAUGGAUUUAAUGUGCCCAUGGCUCUUAAUUCUACUUCCAAUGGGUGCACCCGUGGCAUCCAAUGCAGCGCCGACAUAGUCGGACAGUGCCCUGAUGAGCUCCGAGCUCCCGGUGGUUGCAACAAUCCAUGCACUGUUUUCAGGACCGAUGAAUAUUGUUGUUAUUCUGGGAACUGUGGCCCUACAACUUACUCCAAGUUUUUCAAGGAUAGGUGUCCGGUGGCUUAUAGCAACCCUAAUGAUGAUCAAACAAGCACCUUUACAUGCCCUGGUGGUACUAACUAUGAUGUUAUCUUCUGCCCAUGAUGCCUCUACUAGUCCUGUUAGACGAUUUGGUACCAUCUUGGGAUCCAAAUGUCUAGAAGAAUAAAUUUGAGCACAUGUCCAUGUCCAUAGUCAUGUAAUAAGAUUUCUACCAUCAUAGAAAUCGAAUGAUUUUCAGAGGGGUUAGAAGCUUUGAAUAAUGUUUAAAUGUGCUUUACUUAUAAAAGUUUAGAACUAAUUCUUCAUAAAAAUAAUUUUGUCCAAGUGUUAUUGUUUAAGAGUUUAUUUGAUAUUGAAUUAUGAAAGUAUUUUGAAUUAUUUUAACAUUUAAAAAAUAAUUUUUCUUUAAAUAUUAAAAAAUUUAAAAAUGCUUCUUAUAAUUAUUAUCAAAUAAACUCUAAAUACUAUAUAUUAAAAACAUAAUUACUAGAAUGACCUCUAAAUGAAUUCAUAUUUUAAGUACACCGAGAAUGAUAGAAUUCAGUAAUGGUGUUUUAAAUUAAAUUGGUAAAUAUUUUGGGAUUUUCCAUUUGAAUAAUUUUUAGAAGUGAAUAAAUUAUUUUUCAGCUCUAACAUAAACAAAUCCUGUUAUUGUGGUGUGGAAAAACCUUUGCUCAAGAGUCAAGAGCGGUGGUGGAGGCUUGAGUUACGUACCCAAGUUGAAUUUUUGUAAAAGGAUGUGGAGGAGUAGAGUACAAGGAAAAUUGAUUUGCGGACAAGACCAGUUAGUUAGUGAAGCUUGAUUAAAGUCGAAGUUUUGGUGUUUUCUCCCAAGACUUCCUUUGUAGUGGUCCAAAAAAUUGGUAAGGAAAUAUGACAGACAUCGAAAGAGGAUUUGGCUAAAAGUCAAUAACUAUUUGGAGCUAUGUUCCCUUCUCGGGGCGAUGGCGUUUGCUAGUAAUCUUUGACUCGCUCUUCCCCGUAGCUUCCAUAGCAGUCCAAACCGGUUGCUUGUUCAAGGAAAACACCGUAUAAAUAAGAGGGAAGUGGCUAAAAGUCUAACUAAUUAAAAUCGUAGUCAUUUAUUGUGUGGAAUAGCGGGACACAUACGUAUUGAAGUUGAACUUGUCCAUCAAUUAAAUCUAAUACAAUUUUCUUUUUCAAUCCAACUAUUACGUAAUAAAUUUUAAAUUUCAAAUAUAUUUGCUUUUAAAAUUUACUCAAACCAAUUUAAUAACUUACAAAUAACUAAUUCAAUAACUUGGACUUCUUUAAUAUAGUAUUGUCCAAGCAUAUAUUUGAUAUGUCUUUAAUUUAUUUUUAAUUGUGCUUCUAAGCUACGUUUGGUUCUCGAAAAAUUUGAGAGAAAAUUUAAAAGAAAAAAAUUACAGAUGAAAAAAAAUAAAAAAUAGUUUAAAUAUAAUAAAUUAUAUUUGAUUUGAUUUUCUAUUUUUUUUUAUAGUGAAACAAAAUAUGAGAAAACCAUUUUUAUUAAUAUUUUUUUUCUUUAGAACACUUUCCAACAUAACUUACCAUUUAUUUUUUUGGUCAUGCAAAAGUUGAUGUAAAAAAUAUAGUUAGUCUCUCUUAUAUCAUUCAUUUGAAAUUGAGUAGAUUAAUGGUGUUUGUUUUUUUGGUUUUUUACUUAAAGCAAUUUAGUUUUAGAAUUUAGGUUGUUUGUUUUUCUACUUUUUCAUGACUUAUUAUAAACUUUUUACUAAAUAGAAAAAGUCAAAAUAUGUAGCUUUUUCUAAGUAGGAAAAAUAACAUAUUGAUUUUUUUUACUUUUUAAUACUUAAUAGAAAUAAAAUACUACAAAAACAAAUAACCUAAUAUUUAACACUAUUAAGCAUUAAGGUUCUAUUUAGAAUUAAGUAAAAAAACAAACAUCAUCUUCACACUAAGUAAUAACCCUAUAUUAGUCCUAAUAAGUAAUAAAAUUCCUCUACUAAUACAUGGUAUGGAUAAAAUAUUUACUAAAUUAACAACAUGAAUGUAAGUAAUUUAGAUAUUAGUAGGAUAUAUUUUUGUCUUAAUUAUUUAAAAAUAUAAACAUAUUUAUAUUAGGUUCUUGCUUUUUAUAAAUAUUAAUUCAACAUUUUUAGUAAUUUUUUUUUUAAAUUUAAUAAUUACAUAACCAAAAGUAAAAAAAAAAAAAAAUCAUUUUAUGAUGAUUUUUUGUCAAUUUUCAAUGAUUUCUUUCUAGUUCUUUGUUUUCAGUAGGUUAUUGAGUUAAUAAAGAAAUAAUGAAAUAUAAUGUGAUUGGGUUUUGGGUAUUUUUUUUUUUUAUAAUUUGUUUAAAAAAAAUUAGAUAAUAAAAAUAUCAUAUAUAUAUAUUUUGUUAUAAAAUUUUUAAAAGGAAAAAAAUUGUUGCUAAAUAUGAUUUUCAAAAACAUUUAUCACAAUUUUAAUUCAAAAAAUUGAAAAAUAAAAGUGUAAUGGAAGAUACUACUAAUGUAGUACAAGCAAUAAAUAUUUUUACCCUUAGUUGUGAAAAAUAUAGAGGAAAGAAAUUUUAUGAUGUCUGUUUCUAGAAGGUUGUAGGAAACCUGUUUGCCACGCCAGCCUAUUAAUAUUUUCUUCUUCGAAAAUUAAGAAAUUAUGGCAUUUUUUUAAAAAAAAAUUAUGCUUAAAAAUAGUUUUUUAUUUAGAAUAUAAAACUUAAAUUUAAAGAAAUUGAGAAUAUAUUCUAAAACUGAAUUAUCUUUUAGAAUAAAUUUAAGGGUUUUUUUUUAUUAUGUUCUAUUAAAUAAUAAUUAUUAAAAAUAUGAAAAUUAUUUUUUUUUAAAAAUAUAUUAUAUAUGUGUAUGUCAACUUUAAGAAAAAUAAAUAAAUAAAUAAAUAUAUAUAUAUAUAUAUAUAUAUAUAUUUUAUGUCUGAGAUUUUAAACAAAAUUUUAUUUAUAAAAAUAAUUAAAAAUUAUGUUUUGCCUAACAUGCCUAUGUUCUAGUCGUCUACGGAGUUGGUUCGGGAUGGCAGUGGAAAAUAUACUUUAGAUAUUUUCUCUUCUCUAUAGUCAGAUGCUUCUGCGUAUUUUAAAUGGUAAAGACCAAAACUCAAUUAUGAUAUUAUCGAAAAUAGACCCAGUCCAAAGUGGUCAUUCAUACUGGCAUAGUUCCAGGAAGGUGAUCAACAUCAGGGCUGUCUCAUUCAAGAAAGGAAAUUUGCACCCACGUUUUCUAGAUACAUUCCUACUGUUCUGAUGAUUCGGUAUGCACGAAUUUAUGCAAAGGUUAGGCAGAUUUCUGAAAAUAAUAAAAAUGGUAAUGAAGUGGACCCUUCUCUCUGUAAAAUAUUUUAAAUAAAAAAUACUUAUUUUUCUAAAAAUAAGUAUUUUCAAUAUGUAAUAUAUGUUUUAAAAAAAAAAAUUAAUUUACAAGCUUAUUUAUUUUUAUUUCUUAAAAAUAUUAUCGGCUUUUGUUGAUAAGAUUUGAGGAAAGAAAAAGGGCCACCUCACAUCGACUCUUCCAUGCCCGCAGGCCCCAACGAAGUCGACCACAAAGAUGACGCUAUCUUUUGGAAUUUUUACAGGGAGGUUUUUUCACAUACACACCAACCCAAGCCCACCUUCACCCUAUAAAAACCCCCACCCGGUUCCUCACAGAUCACCCCACUCCAACCAUCAAGCCUAUAUAUCUUCCGAAACUCAACAAUGGGCCUCUGCAAAAUCCUCUCCAUUUCCUCAUUCCUUCUCACCACCCUAUUCUUCACCUCCAGCUAUGCAGCUACGUUCAACAUCCAAAACCAUUGCUCCUACACGGUUUGGGCUGCGGCAGUCCCAGGCGGGGGCAUGCAGCUUGGCUCAGGCCAAUCCUGGAGCCUCAAUGUGAAUGCCGGCACCACUGGAGGCCGUGUUUGGGCCCGUACCAACUGCAACUUCGAUGCGUCAGGGAAUGGGAAGUGUGAGACCGGGGACUGUGGUGGCCUCCUCCAAUGCACGGCCUAUGGUACACCCCCUAACACCUUAGCCGAAUUCGCACUUAACCAAUACAGCAACUUGGACUUCUUUGAUAUAUCUUUGGUUGAUGGAUUUAAUGUUGCUAUGGCCUUUAAUCCUACUUCCAAUGGGUGCACCCGUGGCAUCAGUUGCACCGCCGACAUCGUGGGAGAGUGCCCCGCUGCGCUAAAGACUACCGGUGGUUGCAACAACCCAUGCACCGUUUUCAAGACCGAUGAAUAUUGUUGCAAUUCUGGGAGCUGUAAUGCUACAACUUACUCCGAGUUUUUCAAGACUAGGUGCCCUGAUGCUUAUAGCUACCCUAAGGACGAUCAGACAAGCACCUUCACAUGCCCUUCCGGGACCAAUUAUGAAGUUAUCUUCUGCCCAUAAAUCUAUUAUUUAAAUCAUAUGCUAGUAUGCCUCUACUGGUCUCAACUAUUAGGAGGCAAUGGUAUCCACCUUGGGUUCCAAAAGCCUAGAGGAAUAAAGUUGAGCCCAUAUUCGUGGUCAUGUAUUAAGAUUUCUACACUAGUCGAAGCAAUGGAUGCCUUUUUUUAUAUAGAUAUAUGCUAUCUUCUUCUUCUAAUCUCUGUGGUCCCUUCCAAGUAACAUUUCAUAUAGAUAUAUGAAUUUUAAUGAUUAUUCUUCUUCAGAAUUCUUUUUUUUUUUUUUUUUGAAAAUGAAAUUAAGCUUAACAUGAACAAAAUUCUGCUAUCAUGGUACGGAGAAAUCUUUGCUUGAGAGCGGUGGUUGAGGAUUGAGUCACCUACCCAAGUCAAAUUUUUGUAACAAUUAGAUGUUCAUCUUUAGAGUACUACAAGGAAAAUUGAUGUGAGGAUAAAGACCAGUUAACGAAGCUUGACUGACGUCAAAAUUUUAUUUUAUUUCCUUUUCUCUAAUCCUACCUUGUAGCGGUCCAAAUUAAUUGUCUUGACAAGGAAAUAUAACACAUAGCCAAGGAGGAUUUGCCUAAAAGCCAUCAUCCUGUUUGAAAACUACCUCCCUUAUUGUGCACAUGACACUUUUUCUAAGGGGAAUAAUCCAACCAUACAUUGGACCAAUAAAAUAAGUAUUUUUGGGAUUUUAUUUUUACCUUCACAAAUUGAGUGCGUAAAGUGCGGGGGAAAAAAACUCAUUCAUGCAUUUCAAUAACACUUGUGAAUUUAUUCCAAAAUUACAUUCAAAGUACACCUAUCAUUUUUUUUUACAUCAACUCUCUCACACCUCCAUUUCACCCGCCAUGUUCAUACGGUUUUUUUAUCUCUCACCAACAUAUUCAUAGUCUCAUGUAUUUUCUUAUAAAACAUCUUUAAUUUCAAUUUUUUUUUCACUCUCUAAUCUCUCCAUAUUUAUUGAUUUUAAUCAUUUUUUAGACACAUUAAACUUAAAAUGAUAAUAUAUAAUAAAUAAUUAAUAAUAAAAAAUUAAAUAAAAACAUAAUAUUUAAUGAACAAAAAUUAAAAUAUUAUCUCACAAAUAAUAUACUUGAUAAUUUUAAAUAUUAAUUAUAAUAAUGUUUAAGAUUUAAAUUUAAAAAUUAUGUUUUUAUUAUUUAGAGGCUUAUGAUAUAAUUUUUUUUAUAUUAAUACUAAAUAAAAGAUUUAUUGAUUUUGUAAAUCUUAUCAUACGUAAAAGUAAAAAAUAUCUUUGUAAUAUUAUUUUAUUAUUUUUAUUUUGAUAUAAAAUUUUUCAUUUGUAAUAUUAUUUUAUUAUUUUUAUUUUGAUAUAAAAUUUUUCAUAUCAAAAUCACAAUAAGUGAUAGUAGUUUUUUUUUUGUUAUGGUUUUAAUUGUGGUUUUAACUUUUUACUUGGUUAAAUUUUUUAAUUUUUUAUCAAGAUAAAAUAUAAAAGAAAAUAUGUUUUUUCAUAAAAAAAAAAUACAUUGUUUUAGGGAAAUUGAGAUACUUAUCUCUUUUAUCAUGAUGCAUAUACUCCUUUUGGAAUUCUCGGGAAGUGUUUUUAAAUUCUCUCCCACCUCGAAAAAGACUUUGAAACUUCAAGUAAGAAAAAUAAAUACAUCCUUUAAGAAAAAUGGAUUUUCUUUGAAUUGGUUGCCUCACAAUAUUUUAAAUGAUAAAGACUAAAAUUCAAUUAUGAUAUUAUCGAAAAUAGUCCCAAUCUAACGACUAGUCAAGAUAUUUGAAGUGGCCAAUCGUAUUGGAAGAAUUCCAGGAAGGUGCUCAACAGGGUUGUCUCAUUCAAAUAAGGAAAUUUGAAAUAAAUUUUCUCAAUACCAUGCACCCACGUUUUCUAGAUACAUUCCUACUGUUCUCAGAAUUGAGUGCUCAUGAAUUUACAUAGAAGUUAGGCAGAUUUCUGGAAAUAAUAAAAAUGAUAAUCACGUAGAACCUUGUCUCUGUAAAUUAUUUUAAAUAAAAAAUACUUAUUUUUCUAAAAAUAAGUAUUUUCAAAAUGUAAUAUAUGUUUUUUUUUUUUUUAAAUAAUAAUAAUUUACAAGCUUUUUUAUUUUUAUUUCUUAAAAAAAUUAUGGGCUUUUGUUGAUAAGAUUUGAGGAAAAACAAAAAGGGCCACACUACAUUGACUCUUCCAUGCCUACAGGCCACAACGAAGUCGACCACAAAGAUGACGCCAUCUUUUGGAAUUUUUACAGGACGGUUUUUCCACAUACACACCAACCCAAGCCCACCUUCACCCUAUAUAAACCCCCACCCAUUUCCUCACAGAUCACCCCACUCCAACCAUCAAGCCUAUCUUCCGAUCCUCAACAAUGGGCCUCUGCAAAAUCCUCUCCAUUUCCUCAUUCCUUCUCACCGCCCUAUUCUUCACCCCCAGCUAUGCAGCCACCUUCAACAUCCAAAACCAUUGCUCCUACACGGUUUGGGCUGCGGCAGUCCCAGGCGGGGGCAUGCAGCUUGGCUCAGGCCAAUCCUGGAGCCUCAAUGUGAAUGCCGGCACCACUGGAGGCCGUGUUUGGGCCCGUACCAACUGCAACUUCGAUGCAUCAGGGAAUGGGAAGUGUGAGACCGGGGACUGUGGUGGCCUCCUCCAAUGCACGGCCUAUGGUACACCCCCUAACACCUUAGCCGAAUUCGCACUUAACCAAUUCAGCAACUUGGACUUCUUUGAUAUAUCUUUGGUUGAUGGAUUUAAUGUGCCUAUGGCCUUUAAUCCUACUUCCAAUGGGUGCACCCGUGGCAUCAGUUGCACCGCCGACAUCGUGGGAGAGUGCCCCGCUGCGCUAAAGACUACCGGUGGUUGCAACAACCCAUGCACCGUUUUCAAGACCGAUGAAUAUUGUUGCAAUUCUGGGAGCUGUAGUGCUACAGAUUACUCAAGGUUUUUCAAGACUAGGUGCCCUGAUGCUUAUAGCUACCCUAAGGACGAUCAGACAAGCACCUUCACAUGCACUGCCGGUACCAAUUAUGAAGUUGUCUUCUGCCCAUAAAUCUAUUAUUUAAAUCAUAUGCUAGUAUGCCUCUACUAGUCUCAACUAUUAGGAGGCAAUGGUUUCCACCUUGGGUUCCAAAAGCCUAGAGGAAUAAAGUUGGGCACAUUUUCGUGGUCAUGUAACAAGAUUUCUACACUAGUAGAAGUAAUGGAUGUUUUUUUUUUUUAUAUAUAUAUAUAUAUAUAUAGAUUUAUGCGAUCUUCUUUCUUUCUAACCUCUAUGGUCCCGUCCAAGUAAUAUUUCAUAUAUAUUUUAUUCUAUAUAAUAUCUGCGGAUAAGAUCGGUUAAUGAAGCUUGACUAAAGUCAAAAUUUUAUUUUAUUUCAUUAUCCUACUU